UGUGGGCCAGUGAUUUUCACGAAUGAAUUUGGAUCAUUAGAUGGAGUUAAUGCCUCCGCCCUCAA
rnacentral:tRNA from 1 species